AGAGUACUUCCGCGGGGAGUUGAAAAAAGCCGGUCCGCUUGCUCCCUUUUCUGCGAGUAUUCUAGCUGUGAGGGCCAGCGGUAGGUAGAGAGGAAGAAUAUGUGUGCUGUGCAUGCUCAGUCGUGUCCAACUGUUUGCAGCCCUGUGGCCCACCAGGCUCCUCUGUCCAUGGAAUUUUCCAGCAUGUGCAGUCUCAGUUCCCUGACCAGGGAUUGAAGCCGUGCCCCCUGCAAGUGGAAGCAUGGAGUCUUUAACUAUUGGAUUGCCAGGGAAGUCCCUGUUGUUCAUCUUUCAAAUCAGAUAGUAUUUGGU
ensembl:lncRNA